GGGCCAUUCAAUUUCGAAGAAGCAAAGACGAAGGGAGGUUUGCCAUAAUUGCAUCUCAGUCCAUCUAGUUGGUCCAAGGUCUCCAACAAUAUUUAUUUAGAUUCUUCGGUUGGGGUUGGGCUUUCUUAUUCUAAGAACCGAAGUGAUUACUUGAUUGGUGACAUUCAGACUGCCAUCGACA